CAAAGAACAGUCUCCAUAAUUAUGACUAAUAACUGUGUCAGUAAUGCGUUAAAUCCAAAUUCCAAGAAGAAUUUUCAGUGGUUAUUGUCAUUUUUAGCUUGACUAUUUGAAGAAUAGGGGAGCUAUCCUACUCGCCCCGGCGUCGGCGUGAGCGUUAGUGUGAGCGUCACACAAAUGUUAAAGUUUGCGUACCACCCCAAAUAUUUUCAAAGUCCAUUGAGAUAUUGCUUUGAUAUUUUGCAUACUUGUUUACCAUCAUGACCCAGUCUGUAAAAAGGCGGAGUCAACUCUAUCAAGCAUUUUGACUGAAUUAUGGUCCCUUUUCGACUUAGAAUAUGCUUAUUGUAAUGUUAAAGUUUGCGUACCACCCAAAAUAUUUUCAAAGUCCAUUGAGAUAUUGCUUUCAUAUUUUGCAUACUUGUUUACCAUCAUGACCCCAGUCUGUAAAAAGGAGGAGGCAACUCUAUCAAGCAUUUUGCCUGAAUUAUGGCCCCUUUUCGACUUAGAAUAUGCUUAUUGUAAUGUUAAAGUUUUACUCAUAUCUUACAUUAUACUAUCAAGAACUGAGAAUAGUCGAGCGCGCUGUCCACUAACAGCUCUUGUUUAAUUGGUAUUAAUUAAGUUUAAGUGAAAUUGUUUGAAUGUUUAGAAGAAAAAUUAAGAUAAAUUUAUGGAUCAAAUAAUUGUACUUUUUGUACUUUGGGAAAUAUUAGUUUUAGCAGGACUUAAUUGAACAGAGUUGUUGGACUUAGAUAUAUUAUUGUUUACAAAAACUGGUCUUCGAUUUGCUUUUGAUGGAUCUGUUCCAACCAGCCAAAACAUCUACAUCUGCUGUAUUAACCAUACUGUAAAAUCAUUUAAUUUCGUGGGCAUGAAAAUUCACAGUUUUGGUAAAAAUGGCAAUUUCAAGGGGAUAUAAAUUCGUGGAUUUCAACUUUUAAACAUAAAAUGAAUGGGCAUUUUAUAUGUUUGUUGGGAUUAAAUUACAUGGAUUGACUCGACCACGAAAUCCACGAAAAAUAGUUCCCCACGAAUAUAAAUGAUUGCACAGUAUUUUUCAGUUGAUAUAUUAAUAAAAGUUUUCAGUCAAUGACAGAUCUUUCAAAACAGUUUUCUUCGUUAAUCAUUUUGUCUGUUGAUCAUUUUUGCUGAUGCCACACGCCUCUAAGAGAUCGAUCUGCCACGUUAUCUAGCAGUUUUUUGAUAAUUAUUUUGUGAUGUAUAUUAGGGCAGUGCUCUAAAAAGUUAUAUACCAGUUUACUGUUUUUGCAUUUUGAAGCCAUUUGGCCGUAGUGUUCUUUUAACUUUUACAAAAAGUUUUAAUUUUUUGACGGUGCUUUUUUUUGUUUUUGUAAAUUUUAAUUCAUAUUUUCAUUUCUUCAACCAAAAGGAGCCAGUUAGGCUUAAGACUAUAUUUCAACUUAGAUAACUUAUUUAUAAACGCACAAGCGUUUAGGGUGAAACUAUCCAAAUGCCACAUAUCUGAUAUAUGUCCUUAUUAGUAUUGUUCCUUCUAUUAAAAUAGAUAAUAAGUUUGUUUAAAUAUCAGUAUUUUGUCAAAUUGAAAGUUUGAGAAUGUUUUUGACUUAAAAAUUUAUUAAAAGGAAAUACCUUAGUAGUCAUUGCAAGCCAUUAAAAAAGACUUAAUUUUUUAAGAAACCUUGAAAAUGCAUUUUUUACCAAAUACCUGUGAUUGAGAUAUUGCUUUUGCCUUCGACACAAUUUGGUGGAUGAAAGACACAUUUUGGAAUAUCAUAUAACUAGGAUUAUGUGACUUAUUUAAGGCUGUUCAGGGUGAAAAUGCUCUUAGUGACAUUUGGUAAUGUUCAUUUUAACUUUUCUGGUCAGAUAUAUGUAAUUGGGGCCUUCGUGGCCAAGUGGUUAAGGUUGCUGGCUUUGAAUCACUUUCCCCAAUGUGGAUUCGAGCCAUACUCGGGGCAUUGAGUUCUUAUGUGAGGAAGCCAUCCAGCUACCUACCUGCUCGUGAUGAAAUAAGGCACGAAGGGGCACCUGGGGUCUUCAUCCACCAUCAAAGCAGGAAAGUCGCCAUAUGACCUAUAAUUAUGUUGGUGCAACGUUAAACCCAACAAAGAAGAUAUACAUAGUUGUAUUUUUUCUGAUGAAGAUAGGCAUUUGAUUCCCAUUUUAUAUAAAACCAAUGUCGAUUAACCAAUGACAAUGUCUCAUUUGAUAGGAAAACGAAUGUUGCAUUUAAAAAAGAAGUGAACUGAAACAGCUUUCAUUGCUGUGCUUUGAAUGGUACACUGUUAUAUUAUUUCUAUGUGCAAUUAAUUGAAACUCUACAACCCACUUGUUUUUUUUAUCUCCACCUAAGAUUAUCCCAUCUUUCAGUUUAACUACUAUUUUAAUGUUAUUUGUCAUCUGUUUGUAAGGUUAGUUUCUGCUUCCAUUUCACUUUAUUGUUUUGACAUAUCAAUAUUUUAUCAUUAUUAGCAUGAUUAGAGUAUGGUGACUUGCGUGGUUCAUUUGGGGUUUAAAGCACACUGAUCUCCCAUUCGUAGCACAACAACAGCAAAUUUUUUUUAGAUAUCAGAAGAAUAUUGCAGAUUAAUGUUAGAAGUGGUAUGAUAAAAAAUGUCUCCUUUUGAAUGGAACCAGUCAUUAUUAUUAAAUUUUGCUUGGGGGAGGUUGAUAUAUCAGUAUUCAUCUACCAUUAACACUUGUUAAAUUAUACACCCAAAUUGUUACUUCUGAUUUCUGUGUUUCAGAUACUGAUGUUUAUUUUUAUUUCCUGUUUACCCUUGUUUUCUCAUAAUGGACUUUUCCUGUUAAUUAUCAUGGAACAGUUCACUUGGUAGCAGGGGUGAAAUGGAUAAGAUAUUUAUGUUAAAGAAACUUUAUUUUUCUACUGUCUUUGAAGCUUUAAUUUUGAGAAGAUACCUGUUCAUAUUAUUUUUAGAUCAUAUAAAAUAUUAAGUUUUUAUACAACCCACCUUAGUAAAAGCUUUAAUAUGCGUAAUGUUUCAGAAAUGUAAAAUAUAAAAGUUCAAUCAAACUGUGCUAGGAGAAAAAUACAUACGUUGUAGCAGUAAUUAUAUGCAAACUUUUGCCUGGUUUAGAGAUACAUUAAGAUUAAAAUGCUACUGUCUAUGAAAUUUAUGUAUACUCAACAUUAAGUUUUCAGACUCUAUGUAUAGGCACAGGUAUAACUCGAGGUUGUAAAAUUUAAGUGUAUUUUUUUGUGGCAUAAAAUGUAGACCUAUGGUUGAGUAUUUGUGAGCAAGAAACAGACUUCUUUAAAAUCAUUAUAAAUUAUGCAUGCUUGUUACUUUGAAAGUAAUUUAGUUUACAGUUUUUAAGGGAUAACAUUUAAAUGAGGUAAAUUUGAUUUUGCGUUUUAGAUAAAUACAUAAUUUGUUUUGCAUCGCAUUUUUUUUCUAUUUCAUUUAAUAGGGAUAAAUGUAAUUUUGCAUUGCAUGUGCAUUACGUAUAAAUGUAAUGCAUGUCACUCGCUUACAUUGAAGAAAACAAAAUUUAUAAGGAAAAUGUAAUUAUGUAAUGCAUUACAUAUAAAUGUAAUUCAUUUUAUGUGCUCACAUUGCAGAAAACAAGUCAUAGGGAAAAUAUAAUGCUGUAGUGCAUUACGUAUAAAUGUAAUGCAUAUUUUGUGCUUAUAUUGAAGAAAACAAAAUGUAAAUCUAUAUCGUUUAUUCAUUUCUUGUUGUCAUAGUUACCAUGAUGUAAAUAAUUUCGUGCAUAGCUUAUGUAGCAUUUGAAAGCCAAGCCGUCCUGCAACAGCUUAUCCAUGUCUCAUUUUAUAAAUCUUCUUUUUUGUAAAAUUUAAUGCAACUGGAACAAGACAAAUUUUGUCCUAUUUUUUCACAGGAGUGACUUAUUUGUAACUCUUAUUGAUUAAUGUUUUUUUUAUUGUUUAUGCUAUAUAAAGAUGUGUGUUAUAUAUGAAUCAAGUGUUUUAUAUAAAUAUGGUCGUUUGAAGACAGGUUCGGUUUCAGAUGGGUUUCGAGUGGGUUGUUUUGGGGGAUUUUUAGGGGAUAUCAGAUAAAUAUGAAGGUAUAUUUAUAUUCCAAAAAAGGUUAUUAAACUUAGGCUAGAGGUUUUAUUCUUGUAUGAUCCUUUUGAAGUUUUAUUAUUGUCAAAAUAUGUAAAAAAAAGUCUUAAAAGGAAAUAAGAUGGAAUUUUUUUUUUUAGAUAUACUAUAGCUUCAGGGAUUUGGAUAAAAAUAUUAGUAAUAAGAGAUUAGUAGUAAGAGGUUACCAAGACAACUAUUUGGUGUAUUCAACUGACCAUGCUCUAUGAUAAAAACAGAAUUUUAACAAAAGAGAAAAAAAAAAAAAGAUUCUUAAGGCCUCAACAGAUGACAGGUUCUAAUUGUACAACAUUAAUUAUCUCAGAUUUUAAAAUUGUACAUCUUUCACAUUCAGACAGUAUUCCACUACCAUAUAAAUCUGACAGAGAUUUACCUAGUAAACAUAAUGCAUCAGGUACUGAAAAGAAUGUAACCAUUAAUAAUAAAAAAUGAUAUUCACCGUUAUAUGUCCCAUGAAUUUGAUUAGGCGUGACACAAAUGAGCCAUGAGAAAACCAACAUAGUGGCUUUGCGACCAGCAUGGAUCUAGACCAGCCUGUGCAUCCACGCAGUCUUGUCAGGAUCAAUGAUAUUUGCUUUCAAAGCAUAUUGCAAUUAGAGAAACCAUUAAUGAACAGCAUGGACCAGACUGCACGGAUGCUGGUCGGAAACGCACUAUGUUGGUUUUCUCCUGGCGCGGCUCAAAUCAUUUAACUUUUUAGUGUCAUCCUUUUUCCAUUAUGCAUUAGAAGCCAUUUUAUAUUCAGAUUUGUGUUUAUUUUUUUGGCAGUUGUUUCUGGAAUUUCAUUCACUUGCCUCUUAUCAACUAAUUAUUUACCAUUUUGUUGCUUGUCAACAUGGGUGGUACGUAACGCAAAACUUACGAAAUAGAACAUGUCCUGAUCUGUAUGUCAAGACUUAAGGUUUACGAAAUCAAGGAAUAGCAUCAUACACACGAUAAUAUUGGCUGUACAUCUUAAAUUUAAUUGGUGUUGUAAAACAAAAACCUACUGUCUGUUGAGGGCUUUAAAUAACUGUAAAACAUGCCUUAAGUUUUUGGUAAAUGUUUUCUUCAAAGUCUGUUUUUAGUGGAUCAGAUUUUGACUUUUUAAAAAAUGUAGGUCUUAUUUCAUCUUGGAACUAUUAAUGGUUUUGAACUCUUUCUGCGACACUUAUUUUAAUUUUUUUUAACAUUUUGUUCUGGUAUUGGAACUGGUUUUAGGGUUUUGAACAUUAUUUCAAUGUUUUGAACAUGAUUUUAACAUUUUUAACACUAUUUUAGUGCUUUGGAUUUUUUAGAUGUUGCCCAGGUUUAGAAAUGGGAAUCAUGUUGAAUACUUGUCAGCAGGUUCUUGUAUUAAAAGUUCUAUCUGCUUACUGCAGCCUGCCAACCAAAGCACUAAGUCUACAGGGUAAUCUUCUAAACCAACUUUGAAUUUUUGAGACUUACAUAUUUUUCUUUAGUAUCUUGUAUGGGCUAAUACAGCUUAAAUCUAAUGUAUAAUACCGUGCAGUACUGGAAAUAUAUUUGUCAGGAUAAAAAUGUUUAGUUAUAACAUUUUGAGUCGAGCAUUUUUUUUUUUUAAUCAAAACAAAAUACCUUGGCAAUAUAGCAAUAAAUCGUAAUUUUUAUGAAAGCAAAUGCCAUGUCAUUAUAGCAAGGAAUUGUAAUUUUUAUCAAAACAAAUACCAUUCAGUAUAGCAAAGAAUCUUAAUUUUUUUAUCAAAACUAAUGCAAUGUCAACGUCACAAGAAAUUGUAAUCAUUUUGGUUAUAUUGAUGGCUUGGUUUACUGUUCUUGCUGUUUUCAAAGGGAGAACAGGUUUUACUGACUGCUGAAAGGUUUAAGGUAACAUUUGAACAUUUCAGAAUUUAUUUGAUUAUAUUUUUCUUGAAAAUCUACUGCUGUGCAGUAAAAACAUAGUAAGAAGUUCAUUCACAGAUGUUUAAAAAUAUGUAAUUUUAAUUUGUAAUUGUCAUUGAAUGGAAGUACAAUUACUAUAGUUUUGUUCCAAAAAGAACACGAAACCUUUGUAACUGUUUAUAGCUAAAGAACAAGAUACAGUAGUUUCACAAUGAGCUCUUGACAUGUUGUUUUGGUUAACCUUUAGCCUGCUGGCGGCAACUGUAUCUGCCUUUGCGACCAGUGCAGACCAAGAUCAGCCUGCACAUCCUUGCAGUCUGAUCAUGGUGUGCACUGUUUGCUAUUCAGUCAGUAAAUUUUCAAAAAAAACCCCUUUGAAUAAUAAAUGGUAUUGCCCAAAUUGAAUGAUGGACCAGUCCAUUUAAGAAAUUUAGCAGGCUAAUAUGUAAAUGUGUUGUACAAAGAUACCCCCCUUGGUGUUGUGAACUUAACUGAAGGAUGGGAGGUUAGGUGUUGUAAAUGUACCAUUUCUUAGGAAUGUCAUUUGCAAUGCUUUGCCGACAUCCUUAAAAUAAGUAGCUAAUAUUAGACAAAAAUAUUGAGGCUAAGUGCAAGAAAAAUGUAACUUCUAUUGUAUAUUAAGUUAAAACAGUCUUGCAUUGAACCUUGGUGUUGUGACCAUAUACAGUAUUAGAUGAAAUAUAAACGUGCUUCAUGUCCUCUGUAAAUUGUGACUAAGAUUUUUAAGUCAUGUGACAAGUCACAUGACAGGUAGCUCAGCAGUUAUUGGCCAAUGUUUGACAUCAAACUCAGCAAUGAUUGGCUGAUAUUUGACAUGUGACAAGUCAUAUGACAGGAAGUUUAGCAAACAGUUUGCUGGCAUUUGAUUAAACCAAUUGGUUGUUUAAUACUUUGAAGCAGCAUGUGCCAUUUGUUGUCAGAAAUGAUAUUUUGAUUACUUCUUUUCAGAAACAGAAAGGAAAAAAAGCUAGUUUUGAAUAGUAUUAAACAUGUAAAUAUUGUUUAACAAUUGGAUGUAAUUUAUAGUUUCAUAAGUUUGUGAUGGAAACUGCCAGCUGUAAUAUAGUGAGAGACUUACAGCUAAUGCAUAUAUCAAGAUAACAGUUUUUUCAAAAGUUCUUUUUGUAAAAAGGGAGAAAAACACAUGCAAGUAAUUGUUUGUUUGGUGAAAACGCAAGUAAGAUUUUUAUGCAAAACUUAAUUCUCCAAGACUGUGAAAGAUUGAUCAUAGAUAGAUAAUUACAUAGUUGCAGAGCUUUAACACAUUGUACAAAGAGGAAAAUGGUUGUACAUUUAUUUUUUAUGGCCAUACACUGUACUGAUUGAACUAUACAUAUAGAUUUGCUGUCUUUGCUUAAAAAUGGCAUAUUUUAUGCAAUUUUUGUUUAAGAAAAUUUGUUUUAUUUUGUCAGUAAAAAAACAAUGUUCAUUUGACUUGAAAGUCUGUUAAUAUGGAAACAAUAUGAAAACUUGCACAAGAUCUACAUUUUUCAUAUUUGUAUCUAAUUUUAGAAUUAUUGCACUUCCGUUUGUGGUCUGAACAUAGAAUUAGAAAUUUAAGCAUAGGUUGUCAUAUUUAUUCAUGUGUUAUAUACCAGAAAAGUUGGUCAGAUUAAUAAUAGAACUUACAUUUUUUCAUAGUUGCAGACUUUCGGGUCAGAUUAUGAAUGUGUCUCUUGCAUAUACAAUAUAUUUUCGCUUAUAAGACGCCUUAUUAUGAGUCAUAUUUCCAGUUCAAAGAGUGGGAAACAUUUAUAAGCGUGUACUACAUGGAAAUUUAAGGAAUGAGAAACCCCAGAUUGCAUAUACAAUGUCUGGGUGCGUCUCAUAAGCAAGUGCGUCUUGUAAGCGAAAAUAUACAGUAUUGAUAAUUUUUGUUUAUGUUUAGUCUUUACAAUAUUAUAUGUGUCCCGAUAUAUAUACGCAAAGAUCUGACUAUUUCUGAAUGUGAUUAUUAUAUGAAAUGCAUUUUAAUUUUCUGCCACAUUUUUAAGAUGUUAAUAUUUAUGCUUUGUUUGCAUUGACAUUUUACUUACUUGGGUACAUUUCUAUCACGGCUCUUUUUGGUUAUGAGCAGUUGGCUUAGAUAAGAAAUGUUUGUGUUAAAUUAUAUGCCAUGAAUUUAUGAAACCAACAUUUUUGAUAAGCUGCAUUUUAACAAAUGGCCAAGUUACUUAAAAUAUCCCAGUUUAAUUACAAUUUUAGAGACACAGACCAUCUUAAAUUUAAAUAAGAGAAGCAUAGAGCUUAGGUAAGAAUCUCUCAGAUCUUUAUUAUACUCUAUUAAUUAAUAGAAAUUAUGUCACAGAUAGCAGACUUAUAUUGGCCCUUUGUCGGCUCAAGCAGGAAGCAUUUUUAGUCCUCAUAAAUUUAUUUCAAAUGUUAGUAAAAUUUGUUCAAUUUCCGACGUGUCUCAUUGAUGUGUUAUAAUUGAAUUACUAAAGCAGUACUUAAAUUUAAUCAUAUAAUGACACCACUCUGCGUUAAAUAUUUCCUUUGUUAGAGAAGAAAAUAUGUUCUACAAAUACCUUGUUUUUACUUUAUUUCAUUUAUUAUAUUGUUUUCUGUUUUUACUUAUAUUUUAAGCUAUUUAUUUCAUUACUACGUAUGUGCUAUCAUUUUUUACAUUGGGCCAAUUUUUUUUGACUUCUUCUAUAUAUGUUUUACUACUUUUUAUAGUGCUUUUACACCUUGCUGGUGUAAGAAAACAAGUAAAUCAAAUAGAAGAAUUAUUUUAUUUGUUUUGUUAUAUCAUGUAUAGGUUUUGGUAUAAUGGUGCUUACAUGUUUUAUUUUGUUCCUAGGAUAAAAACAGGUUAGUCUUUACUUUUUUUCAUUGAAUCUCUUCUUUGUAUAUAAAUUCAUUGUCAGUAUUUGACAGAUUACUGUAAAAGCAGUCAUUUUUGCAAGGGUUUAAUUUUCUAUAUAUAUAUUCACGAGGCAUUAUGUCUCGUGAAAAAUGAAUAUUCUCGUAAAUUUUUACCAUUAGUAUAAUUCAAAUUCAAGCGAAAAACGAUUUGAACAGUAUCACAAAUAUUAAACCCUGCGAAUAUACUCAGAAUUUCAAAUUUGCAAAAUUUUGACCCAGUGAAAAUUGUGCUUUUACAGUGUAUAAAUUCAUUGUCAGUAUUUGACAGAUGAUAAGAAUUGUUAGAUUUUUUGUUAUUUAAAUGUUCUCUCUCCACCCUUUAUGUUUAACCUUAAGCCUGCUGGCGGCAAAUAUUUCUGCCUUUGCGACCAGUGUAGGCCAAGGUCAUGGUCUGCACUGUUUGCUAUUCAGUCAGUAAGUUUUCAGCAAACACCCCUUCAAAUAAUAAAUGGUAUUGCCAAUAUUGAGAUGGACCAGUCCAUUUUAGAAAUUUAGCUAGGUAAAGGUUAAACACUAAUCACUGCAGAUUACAUUGACACUUCCAUCCUUGUAAUAGUAUGUUGGUCACAUUGUUUGUCCAUUGUGCAGGUUUAAAUUCUGUUGUAGAUAUCCUGAUACCCGCUACCCGCCCAUGCUUUCAAAUUAUACUCAGAUGGGCAUAAGGGGAAUACCUCCUAUCAAUAAAAGUUGGAAUUACACGCAGCAAACAAUUUCGCCAAGUCCACGGGUUAUGACAUGUCAAAGCAUUUUGAUUGGCACCUAUGCAGAAAGACAAAAAUUAUUGAAAUUUGAGUAGGUUACGACAAAAUCUUAGAAAAAUAUGGUACAAAAGAAGAUAUGUGAUAAGCUAGUUUUGAAUCCUGGGAAAGAUGUUACACUGCUAGUGUGUUUUUUUUUGUACAAAGCAAGAUUGUGUAUGUUAUUGAAUGAGGAAUUGAAAUAAAAGUGCUUGCAGGGAUGGUCACUUCUUAUUCCUUCACUAGGACAAAAAGAAGUAAAAAGAACGGAAGCUAAAAUAGAUAAAGUGAUUCUGGAACUUUAUUCGUUUCAUCUAAAUGCCUUCAAAUAGUUAGGUUUGAUAGUAGAUUUAAGUAACUAACAGUUUUCGUAUCCGUAUAACACGUUCAUUAGUAAUUGGAAAAUAUUUAACAUAACUGUAUUGUCUUUCAGCGCAAUAACUCAAUAAGUGCUUAUAUAAUAUAUAUGCACUUAUUGAGUUAUUGCGCUGACAUGACGAUAUGCUCUUUUUACAGGGUUUGUUAUUCAAUUAAACUUUUUUAAGUGGUGCUUAUUUUUUCUCCUUUUGUGAAUAGCUUAUUUGUACAAAUGUUUAUUCCUUAAAAGACUUUUCACCUUUUUUGAUGCUAGAAUUUAUGUGUUCUGUUUUUAGGUAAUGAUACUGCUUGGCCUUAACUCUUAUAAUGCUGGACAAGAUUGAUUCUGCCUUUGCGACCAGUGUAGAUCAUAAUUAGUCUGCACAUCUGUGUAGUCUGAUCAAGGUCUGCACUAUUCGCUGUUCAGUCAGUAUCUUUUUUGUAAGCACCCCUUUAACAGUUAUAAUGGUACUGUCCAGAUUGAAAGAUGGAUAAGUCCAUUAUAGCAAUUUGGCAGGGUAAGGGUUAGUACACACUUAAUGCUUUAGAAUUUACUGUGUAUACUUUUCUGGAACCAAAUGGCAUUUGUCUGGCCUAUUUUUCAUAUGGGAACAAAUCUGAAAAAGUUUCUGUGAUGUUUUUUCUCUCAUUUUUCAUUUUUCUUUUGGUGUGUUUAUCAUGUUAGAAAACUUUACUGCCUUUUGUGUAUGGAUUGGUAAAUACUGACUGAUUUUGAUAAGAUGGUAACUGACCAGCUUUGAUAAAAGUGUAAAUACUUUACAUUGGAUGAAACACGUGUUCAAGCAUCACUGGUCUUGUACUUGAGUCCAUUAUGACACUCGUUAAUUUCCCUAAUCUACUUUUGCCAUUCAGCGUUAUUUGAAAGCAAAUGUAGCUGAACACGUGUAUGAUUCUCUUACAAAAACGAGAAUGCUGUAAUGGCAUCCAGUGAAUGCGUAAUUUACAAAAUGCCAUUACGCUUUCACUAUCACAAGGUUAUAUAAGUUAUAGGAAGUUAUUUGUAUCAGGCUACGUGUAGAAUGCAACACACAAGGUAUGCCUUCAUUUGUGUUCAGGCAUGAUCUCUACUUCACGUUUUUGGCUUGUGCUUCUGCUUACAGUAGUGAAUCGAAAAGACACUCCUUAUUUUCACGUAUUCUAGUUUUGCCAUUCUGGACGUAAAUGCAGCUGAAGUCGCAUAUGGUAUUUCGUUAAAAAGCUGAAAAUGCCCAAAGUGGCAUACAGAGAAAAUGAGUCCACUACUUCCAAGUAAUGUCAAUUUAGAAGUUUAAUGUUUGUAUCAGGCUGCAUGUAGAACGUAACACACUAGGUAUGCCCUCAUUUGUAGGAAAGUGAAUACGUGAAAGUCUAUUCUGAGUGAUUAAGGCCGCUGAAAAACGGCGUUAAACCCAAAACAAACAAACAGACUUCAAAUCAUUUGCUCCUCAUCGAUGUGGGUUCGAGCCUCACUCAAGGCGUUGAAGUCUAAACCGGACAUUAAUUUCAAAAUAAGCCCCCUUAUCACAUACCAUUAACGAAAUACCCGAAAAAAACUUAAGCAUAACAGUUAAAAGAUUUUAUGUCCAUUUGAAUAAGAAGUUACAUGUAGGCCGCUACAUACAACUACAUUUGUUUGACAUAUCAAAACUGGUCAGUAUUUUUGCCAAAGUCACUUGGACAUUUUCUCAUUAGUUUUACUUGUAAAAAUCAUGUACAAAGUUUGGUUUUUAACACAUUUUUAGAUGUGAUUUUUUUUUCAACAGAUAAAGAUGUUCAGACUUUAAUUUUAUAUAGAGAGUUGUGCCAUAUUAUAUUAAUACAGUGUUCUCCAAAAAUUUCUUGACACUUGAACUUUAUUGCGAAUGUCUACCCUAUAUAUGUAAGAUGUCUUUAGCCAAAAUAUUUAAUGUUACCUUUAUACCUUCUUGUCUAGUCCAUGUUGUCAAGUCACGUAGACGCUAAAAGGUACAUUACUUCUUCCAGUUUAUCACACAGAUAUAUGUGAACUGUUAUUUUUUUGCUACAGAUCAUAUAAAGUUUUUCAAUUUUUGUACAUUUUUUCCCACUGGACUAUAAGGUUAUUUGUUGAAUAGCGUUUCACAUUUAUUUUCCUCAAUUUUUAAAUAAUUACACUUUAAUGAUUACACUUUCUAAACUUUCUGUAAAACGUUAAGAUCUCUGUACCGUAUGUGUAAACAUAGGACAUCUCUAAACAGUGUACAUAUGCACAUUUAAGUUCUGUUUUUGGUGCUUUGAAUGUUGAUUAAGAAAGCUUUUGACUUACAAAUUUCCUACACAUGCAUCAGUAUGAAUUCUCAAUCCUCCUUCCUCAGACUCUGUGUUUUCGUCCUAUUGUAGAUUGUUGUGAAUUUGUUUUAAUUUUUCAUACAAUGAAUAUUUUAUCAGUAUUACAGAAAAUUUUAAGUGUUAAUUAACUUUUGGACCACACUGUUUAUUAUACAUGUAUUAGUGCCAUUGUAAAACGACUGCUUAUAUUUGGAAACCAAAGGUCAUACUUGUUGUGAAAUGUUAGAGAUAUGGUUUAUUCAUAUUUUUUCGUAACAAUAUUUUUGUUUUAGUUUUUUUUUUGUAAAAAGAAAUGUUGGAAUAUCAUUGUUAUCAUUUAGACCAUAUUGUGUUCCCAUGGAAACAGACAGGUGUAUCUAAUUAAUAGCCAUCCUCUUGACUGUUCUAACACUGUGUUUUCUACCCAAGCCAAUAUCUACAUGUAAGUGUUUUAAUAGGGUAUUAAAUGAUGAAAUUAUAUAGCUACAAGUCUUCUCCUUAAAUAAAAAUUACAGCGGCACCUGCAGGCUUCCUGUUCCACCAAAAGCUUGAAAGUAUGCAUUUGAUCCAAAUCUGUCAUUUAGUGAGACUUAAACCCAACAAAGCAACACAGUUAUGUAGAUUUUUCAAAGCAACAGCUUAAAAAAAGGACAGUCAAAGAGAAGACGUUUUUUUUAACAAAGACAAGACAUUUAAACAUUGUAUCAAGUUAAGACAUUGAACCUUAUUCCGCAUUUAAAUAAUUGUAUAAUUUAUGUACAGUGUGAUAAAUAUUUGAUGUUAAAAAGAUUUUUAAAACUUUUCCCAUUAUAAUUACAAUUGGCACCAAUAAACAGGUUGUAUUUUCUUUAUUGUCUGUCCAUACCAGGUUUUAAACCGCUUCAAAAUGGCACACUUCUGCUUUGAUAUGAAAAAAAGUCUGCUUAACUGAUUAGAAAAUUGCACGGUGUUUACAUACAAUGCAUCUUAUCCACCGCUCUUCAGUCAUCCUGUUCCGCUACUGAAAAAUCAUGACAGUUUAUCCAACUUAUAGUAUGUAUAAAUCAGUUUCUUAGGCACACAAAGAGAUAAUCAGAUCUGUAAUUGCUGCCAUAAACAAAGUUACGUUGUCCAGACUUGUUUCAGUAUAAAGAUCUCUGCAUACUGUUUUAAUAACAUAAUUUUCCAGAAAUCAAUGUUCUCUUGCAACAAUAUGCAGUGACUUGAGAUCGUUAAAAAGUCGUGUCAUGAAGAGCCACAAAAUUGGGCAUUGUUUCUACCCCAUGUCAAUCAUUAUUUCUUGUAUUCUGAGGAAGCAUUUGUAAUUAGUAGAUGUUUUAUAUGAACAGGCUAGAUCGGUAUCUUUAAAUCAUAAAAUUAAUGUCACUGAAAAAGCGAAAAUGUUAAAAACAAAUAUGCACCCAAGGACACCUUUAGUAUAAUUUGCAUGUAAUAUUUUUGUUUUCUAAGUCCGUCUUUAUAUAUAUGUCAGUCCCAUUGUUGAGAAAAAAAGUCGAUGCAAAGAAAAAGUCCGUCCAUGUUCAGAAUUAAAAAUGUUUGAUAUUUUCAUUCAUAUGAAGAGUUAAGAUAGAGGACCUUUAUUGGAGAUCAGCCAUUUCCUUACGGUUUUGUCUUUUCAUUUGUUAUUUUAACAUUAUUUGACUCUGGCAAGCACCUGCUUUCCUUACCAGUCAGGAGAUGUCGAAUGCGCAUGUGUCAAGAAUACGUAAUAAACCUGAAAAUGCCGAUCUGUAUUACCGAUUUACACUUGUUUGUUUCCAUGGUAACAGUUGGUAAUGUAUCAUAGUGAUUGUUCAUGUUUAUAAAGCAUUAUAUACAAAAUGGAGGAGUAUUUUACAUAUAAAUGUUGUUCUAUGUUUACUAUAGGCAAAAUGCAAUAGUAUAUAUUUGUGUGCUUUAUUUUUGCUUUAAAGCAAACUCAUACAGAGGUUUAGAAAGGAAUAAAAGGCUUUUACUGGGA